GUGGGGAAUAUUGCACAAUGGGGGAAACCCUGAUGCAGCAACGCCGCGUGAAGGAAGACGGUUUUCGGAUUGUAAACUUCUGUUCUUAGUGAAGAAUAAUGACGGUAGCUAAGGAGCAAGCCACGGCUAACUACGUGCCAGCAGCCGCGGUAAUACGUAGGUGGCAAGCGUUGUCCGGAAUUACUGGGUGUAAAGGGAGCGCAGGCGGGAAGCCAAGUCAGCUGUGAAAACUACGGGCUUAACUUGUAGACUGCAGUUGAAACUGGUUUUCUUGAGUGAAGUAGAGGUUGGCGGAAUUCCGAGUGUAGCGGUGAAAUGCGUAGAUAUUCGGAGGAACACCGGUGGCGAAGGCGGCCAACUGGGCUUUAACUGACGCUGAGGCUCGAAAGUGUGGGGAGCAAACAGGAUUAGAAACCCGAGUAGUCC
rnacentral:rRNA from 1 species